AUUUCCUACCCCAAGGUUCCUGGACUGGACCUGUUCCUCGCAGUAUAUAUAUGUUUACACAUAUAUAUAUUGAAGUCGCCCUGAGCAUUGUCCAAAUAUACAGGACAAACACUCAAGGUCAGUAUCUACAUAUGUUACAUACUUCAUUUCUAGAGACAAUCCCCCUUCAGGUUAGAGAACUGGCUUCUUAGGAUCAGGUGCUGGCCCUAGCUUUCCCAAGUAAUACUACGGUCCCACGAGGUGUACACCCCACCUCAUACACGGAGGUUCAGCCCCACGACCAAAUCAUAGCUAGCCACCUUGCUCGCCCUUCUUUAGGGCUACAGUUAGGGCUUCCCAAGUCACGGCCACACGUUUUGAAUCUCUUACGGUCACCGAGAGGCCAACAUCCUGCCACCUCGUUCUGGUGGCCACAAAAUCCCCUUGGCCCAAUCAUAGGUAGAGCCUCUUACCGCCACUUGGCACUAGCAGGGCCUCGCCUGUCACUUGGUUCUAGGUAAAUUCUUCGCCUCGGCACUCGCUAGCAGACCAGUUCUCCGGAGGUCUCAUCCCACCUCCACUAUACCCUACUUAUCCAAAUCAUUAUUCCUUUCAGAAUGUCUAAAGAACCGACCAUCGAUCCCCAUCAGAUGAUAUA